ensembl:lncRNA
CUGUUUGAAACUUUCAUGUUUUAAAGUUGUUGUUUUUUUUUUCAUUUAAAAUUAUAAAACUUACUCUGAUAAGUAAAUUUUACAAUCUUCAGUGAUCCAUUGAGUUGGGACUGUCUAGAUUCCAGAAGAGUACUGAUAGCACCUAGGACCAAAUUUUCAUUGGGCACUGACGACAAGGAUGAGAAUACCAAUAUGGUUGUGACUGUUGCUGCACCAGUCACAUUUGUUGACAAUGUUUUGGGUAUGUUUGAAGUUUCUGGUUGCAAACUUGAAGUACUUUGAAGUGUUGCAGAUGCAUCUGCUUUUGUUGCAUUGUUUAGAGGUGUAGUAUUGCUAGAAAGAGUUUCAGCUGGUGUUGUUUUGAUUGAUGAUUGACUUGGAAUUGUAGAUGCUGGGGAUGUUGAUGCAUUUGUGUUUGAAACUGAUGUUAUUGGAGCUAUUGGAAAUUCUGCUGCACUGGUGAGACCUGUAUUAAUUCCAGUUGUAGUUGUUGAUGCAGUUGUAGUUUCUGAAUCCAUGUUUGGGAUUGGAGUUGUUUUGGUUGAAAGUGCAAGUGUGGCUGGAGCAGAAGAUGUGUUGGUAAAAGCUACAGUUGUUCUUAAAAGAUCUCCUGUUGUUACUUGAAAUGCAGUUGUUGUUUGAGCUGCAGUUGAACUUGGAAUAGUGGCUGUUGUUGUGGUUGGAGCUGUAGUUGAGAUAUCAGCUGGAACUGUAGUGGUGGGAAGAACAGUCAUGGUUGUAAUGGGUGUAGUUGGGGUUCUUGGAGGUUCAGUUGUUUUUAUUGGAGUUAAAGUUGGGGAUAUAGUUACAUGUGAUGAUGAGAUAGGCAUAAUUGUUACAGCAAUAGUUACAGUCUCCGGAGACACAGUUGUGAUAAUUGGAGGUGCAUUUGUUGUGGUAAGGAGUCCUGCUUGGCUUAGAGCUGGAGCUGUAUUAGUGAAAGCAAUAGUUGUGGUUGAUAGAGGUGCAGUUGUUAUUCGGAAUGCAGUUGUUGUUGCCGCUGUAGGUGUGUUUGUGCCUGGAAUUGAAGUUGAGGUUUGAGAUGGAUUUUCUGUUGUGGGAUAGUUAUUCGUAGAAGAGGAAGCUGUAAUGGUGGAUGUUGCAGGUGCAGGAGUACUUUCUGAAGUUGUAGACAUUGUUGGUGAAGUAAGAGUUGAGGUUUCAGUAGUUGUGGCUGGGGUUAAACUUGAUGUAGUAGUUGAAUAUUCCAUCAUGGUUGUGGAAUCUGUGGUUACAGCAGGUGAAGUUAUACUUUCUGAAUUUGUGUUCGGACCUUUUGAUGUUGUACUUGCAGCCUUAGGUGUGGUUUGAUCUGAUGUAGAAGUGGAAGGAAUGGUUGUGGUGAUGGAAGCUGUAGUUGUGGUUGUUGCAAGAGAAGCUGCUGUUGUCGUUGAAGCUACAGUGGUAGUUGUGGACGUUGUAGUUAUCGAUGUUGUUGGUGCAGUUGUGGUUUCUGAAGUCAUUUUGGUGAUUGUGAGUGUUUCAGUAGUUGCAGGUGCAAGUGGCAUUGUGGUUUGAGCUGUUGUUGCACUUGGAGCUUCAGAUGACAUUGGAGCUGAUGUCAUAGAGGAAGGUACAUUUAUAGAUGAGGAAGCUGUAGUUACUGAUGUUGUUACAGGUGCAGAUGUUUCUGAAGAUGUAGCCAUUGUUGUUGAAAUUACAGCUGUUGAUGUUGUUGGAUAAUUAGUUGCUGUACCUCGAGAUUCAGAUGAGGUUGGAGAUGAUGAUGUAGUAGUAGAAUGCACUAUCGCAGCUGAGGAAGCUGUAGAUGUUGAAGAUGCAGUUGUAAUUUCGGAAGCUGUAGUCACAGUAGUGGAUGGCCCCACUGUGGCUGUGGAAGCUGCAGUUGUGCUUGCUGCAGGUGUAGUUGUACUUUCUGAUGUUGUAGGCAUUGUUGUAGACGUAAGAGUUGUUGCUCCUGAAGUCACAACAGUGGAUGUGAGAGCUCCAGUAGAUGUGGUUGCAAGCAGCAAUGUGGUUUUAGAUGUUGUUGUACUUGGAGCUUCAGAUGACAUUGGAGCUGAUGUCAUAGAGGAAGGUACAGUUGUAGGUGAGGAAGCUGUAGUUACUGAUGUUGUUACAGGUGCAGUUGUUUCUGAAGAUGUAGGCACUGUUGUUGAAGUGAGAGUUGAGGAUUCUGAAGUUACAGCUGUUGAUGUUGUUGGAGUGUUCUUUGCUGUAAAUAUAGUUGAUGAAGCCGUAGUCAUAGCUUCUGCCGUUGUACUCUCUGAAGUUGUAGGCACCACUGUCGAAAUGAUAGGUGUGGUUUCUGUUCUCACAACCGUGGUUGUGGGAAUAUAGGUUUUUGAGGAUACUGUAGUUACUGAUGUUACAGUUGCAGUAGAUUCUGAAGAUGUAGGCUUAGCUGUUGAAGUAAGAGUUAUGGAUUCAGUACUCACAACUGUGGUUGUGGGAAUUUCAGUAGUUGAGGAUGCUGUAGUUACUGAUUUUGUUAGAGGUGUAGUUGUUUCUGAAGAUGUAGCUAUAACUGUUGAAGUAGGAGUUGUAGAUUCAGAAGUUACAAAUGUUGAUGUUGUUGGAUUGUUCGUUUUUGUAGGUGUGGUUGAUGAAGCUGUAGUCAUGGUUUCAGCUGUUGUACUCUUCAAAGUUGUGGGCAACACUGUUGAAGUAAUAGGUGUGGUUUCUGUACUCACAGCUGUGGUUGUGGAAAUUUUGAUAGUUGAGGAUGCUUUAGUUACUGAAGUUGUUACAGGUGCAGUUGUUUCUGAAGAUGUAGGCAAUGUUGUUGAAGUGAGAGUUGUGGAUUCUGAAGGUACAACUGUUGAUGUUGUUGGAUUGUUUGUUGUUGCAGGUGUGGAUGAUGAAGCUGUAGUCGUGGUUUCUAGUGUUGUACUUUCUGAAGUUGAAUGCACCACUGUUGAAGUAAUAGGUGUGGUUUCUGUACUCACAACUGUGGUUGUAGGAAUUUCAGUAGUUGAGGAUGCUGUAGUUACUGAAGUUGUUACAGGUGCAGUUGUUUCUGAAGAUGCAGGCACUGUUGUUGAAGUGAGAGCUGUGGAUGCUGAAGUUACAGCUUUUGAUGUUGGAUUGUUUGUUGUUGUAGAAAUUGUUGAUGAAGCUGUAGUCGUGGUUUCUGCUGUUGUACUCUCUGAAGUUGUAGGCACCACUGUUGAAGUAAUAGGUGUGGUUUCUGUACUCACAACUGUGGUUGUAGGAAUUUCAGUAGUUGAGGAUGCUGUAGUUACUGAAGUUGUUACAGGUGCAGUUGUUUCUGAAGAUGCAGGCACUGUUGUUGAAGUGAGAGCUGUGGAUGCUGAAGUUACAGCUUUUGAUGUUGGAUUGUUUGUUGUUGUAGAAAUUGUUGAUGAAGCUGUAGUCGUGGUUUCUGCUGUUGUACUCUCUGAAGUUGUAGGCACCACUGUUGAAGUAAUAGGUGUGGUUUCUUUACUCACAACUGUGCUUGUGGGAAUUUCAGAAGUUGAGGAUGCUGUAGUUACUGAUGUUUUUACAGGUGCAGUUGUUUCUGAAGAUGUAGGCAAUGUUGUUGAAGUGAGAGUUGAGGAUUCUGAAGGUACAACUGUUGAUGUUGUUGGAUUGUUUGUUGUUGCAGGUGUGGAUGAUGAAGCUGUAGUCGUGGUUUCUAGUGUUGUACUUUCUGAAGUUGAAUGCACCACUGUUGAAGUAAUAGGUGUGGUUUCUGUACUCAUAACUGUGGUUGUGAGAAUUUCAGUAGUUGAGGAUGCUUUAGUUACUGAAGUUGUUACAGGUGCAGUUGUUUCUGAAGAUGUAGGGACUGUUGUUGAAGUGAGAGCUGUGGAUGCUGAAGUUACAGCUUUUGAUGUUGGAUUGUUUGUUGUUGUAGAAAUUGUUGAUGAAGCUGUAGUCGUGGUUUCUGCUGUUGUACUCUCUGAAGUUGUAGGCACCACUGUUGAAGUAAUAGGUGUGGUUUCUUUACUCACAACUGUGCUUGUGGGAAUUUCAGAAGUUGAGGAUGCUGUAGUUACUGAUGUUUUUACAGGUGCAGUUGUUUCUGAAGAUGUAGGCACUGUUUUUGAAGUGAGAGUUGUGGAUUCUGAAGUUACAAAUGUUGAUGUUGUUGGAUUGUUUGUUGUAAGUGUGGUUGAUGAAGCUGUAGAUGUGGUUUCUGCUGUUGUACUCUCUGAAGUUGUGGGCACCACUGUUGAAGUAAUAGGUGUGGUUUCUGUACUCAUAACUGUGGUUGUGAGAAUUUCAGUAGUUGAGGAUGCUUUAGUUACUGAAGUUGUUACAGGUGCAGUUGUUUCUGAAGAUGUAGGGACUGUUGUUGAAGUGAAAGUUGUGGAUUCUGAAGGUACAACUGUUGAUGUUGUUGGAAUGUUUGUUGUUGUAGGUGUGGUUGAUGAAGCUGUAGUCGUGGUUUCUGGUGUUGUACUUUCUGAAGUUGAAUGCACCACUGUUGAAGUAAUAGGUGUGGUUUCUGUACUCAUAACUGUGGUUGUGGGAAUUUCAGCAGUUGAGGAUGCUGUAGUUACUAAAAUUGUUACAGGUGCAGUUGUUUCUAAGGAUGUAGGCACUAUUGUUGAAGUGAGAGUUGAGGAUUCUGAAGUUACAGUUUUUGAUGUUGGAUUAUUUGUUGUCGUAGAUAUCGCUGAUGAAGCUGUAGUCAUGGUUUCUGCUGUUGUACUCUCUGAAGUUGUGGGCACCACUGUUGAAGUAAUAGGUGUGGUUUCUGUACUCACAGCUGUGGUUGUGGGAAUUUUAGUAGUUGAGGAUGCUGUAGUUACUGAAGUUGUUACAGGUGUAGUUGUUUCUGAAGAUGUAGGCACUGUUGUUGAAGUAAUAGUUGUGUAUUCAGAAGUUACAGCUGCUGAUAUUGGAUUGAUUGUUGUUGUAAGAGUGGUUGAUGAAGCUGUAGUCGUGGUUUCUGGUGUUGUACUUUCUGAAGUUGUAGGCACUGUUGUUGAAGUGAUAGUUGUGUAUUCAGAAGUAACAGCUGUUGAUGUUGGAUUGUUUGUUGUUGAAAGUGUGGUUGAUGAAGCUGUAUUCGUGGGUUCUGCUGUGGUACUCUCUGAAGUUGUGGGCACCACUGUUGAAGUAAUAGAUGUGGCUUCUGAACUCAGAACUGCGCUUGUGGGAAUUUCAGUAGUUGAGGAUGCUGUAAUUACUGAUGUUGUUACAGUUGCAGUUUUUUCUAUAGAUGUAGGUACUGUUCUUGAAGUUAGAGUUGUAGAUUCUGAAGUUACAAAUGUUGAUGUUGUUGGAUUGCUCGUUGUUGUAGGUGUGGUUGAUGAAGCUGUAGUCGUGGUUUCUGCUGUUGUACUCUCUGAAGUUGUAGGCACCACUGUUGAAGUAACAGAUGUGGUUUCUGAACUCACAGCUGUGCUUGUAGGAAUUUCAGUAGUUGAGGAUGCUGUAGUUACUGACGUUGUUACAGGUGCAGUUGUUUCUAUAGAUGUAGGCAAUGUUGUUGAAGUGAGAGUUGUGGAUUCAGAAGUUGCAGCUAUUGAUCUUGUUGGAUUGUUUGUUGUUGUAGGAGUGGUUGAUGAAGCUGUAGUCGUGGUUUCUACUGUUGUACUCUCUGAAGUUGUAGGCACCACUGUUGAAGUAGUAGAUGUGGAUUCUGAACUCAAAACUGUGGUUGUGGGAAUUUCAAUAGUUGAGGAUGCUGUAGUUACUGAUGUUGUUACAGGUGCAGUUGUUUCUAUAGAUGUAGGCAAUGCUGUUGAACUGAGAGUUGUGGAUUCUGAAGCUACAGCUGUUGUUGUUGUUGGAGUGUUUGUUGUUGAAGGAGUGGUUGAUGAAGCUGUAGUCGUGGUUUCUACUGUUGUACUCUCUGAAGUUGUAGGCACCACUGUUGAAGUAGUAGAUGUGGAUUCUGUACUCACAACUGUGGUUGUGGGAAUGUCAGUAGUUGAGGAUGCUGUAGUUAUAACUGUUGAAGUAAGAGUUGUAGAUUCUGAAGCUACAGCUGUUGUUGUUGUUGGAUUGUUUGUUGUUGAAGGAGUGGUUGAUGAAGCUGUAGUCGUGGUUUCUACUGUUGUACUCUCUGAAGUUGUAGGCACCACUGCUGAAGUAGUAGAUGUGGAUUCUGUACUCACAACUGUGGUUGUGGGAAUUUCAGUAGUUGAGGAUGCUGUAGUUAUAACUGUUGAAGUAAGAGUUGUAGAUUCAGAAGUUACAGAUGUUGAUGUUGUUGGAUUGUUUGUUGUUGUAGGAGUGGUUGAUGAAGCUGUAGUCGUGGUUUCUACUGUUGUACUCUCUGAAGUUGUAGGCACCACUGUUGAAGUAGUAGAUGUGGAUUCUGUACUCACAACUGUGGUUGUGGGAAUUUCAGUAGUUGAGGAUGCUGUAGUUACUGAUUUUGUUAGAGGUGUAGUUGUUUCUGAAGAUGUAGCUAUAACUGUUGAAGUAGGAGUUGUAGAUUCAGAAGUUACAAAUGUUGAUGUUGUUGGAUUGUUCGUUUUUGUAGGUGUGGUUGAUGAAGCUGUAGUCAUGGUUUCUCCUGUUGUACUCUCUGAAGUCGUAGGCACCACUGUUGAAGUAAUGGAUGUGGUUUCUGAACUCACAACUGUGGUUGUGGGAAUUUCAGUACUUGAGGAUGCUGUAGUUACUGAUGUUGUUACAGGUGUAGUUGUUUCUUUAGAUGUAGGCAAUGUCGUUGAAAUGAGAGUUGUGGGUUCUGAAGUUACAGCUUUUGAUGUUGUUGGAGCAUUUGUUGUUGUAGGAGUGGUUGAUGAAGCUGUAGUUGUGGUUUGUACAGUGGUGGUUUCUACAGUUGUACUCUCUGAAGUUGUAGGCAUCACUUUUGAAGUUGUAGAUGUGGAUUGUGUACUCACAACUGUGGUUGUGGGAAUUUCAGUAGUUGAGGAGGCUGUAGGUAUAACUGUUGAAGUAAGAGUUGUAGAUUUAGAAGUUACAGAUGUUGAUGUUGUUGGGUUGUUUGUUGUUGUAGGUGUGGUUGAUGAAGCUGUAGUCGUGGUUUCUAAUGUUGAACUCUCUGAAGUUGUAGGCACCACUGUUGAAGUAAUAGAUGUGGUUUCUGAACUCACAACUGUGGUUGUGGGAAUUUCAGUAGUUGAGGAUGCUGCAGUUACUGAUGUUAGAGUUGUAGUUGUUUCUGAAGAUAUAGCCAUAACUGUUGAAAUAGGAGUUGUAGAUUCAGAAGUUACAGAUGUUGUUGGAUUGUUCGUUGUUGUAGGUGUGGUUGAUGAAGCUGUAGUCGUGGUUUCUGCUGUUGUACUCUCUGAAGUUGUAGGCACCACUGUUGAAGUAAAAGAUGUGGAUUCUGAACUCACAACUUUGGUUGUGGGAAUUUCAGUACUUGAUGAUGCUGUAGUUACUGAUGUUGUUACAGGUGCAGUUGUUUCUAUAGAUGUAGGCACUGUUGUGGGAGUGAGAGUUGUGGAUACUGAAGCUGCAGCUGUUGAUGUUGUUGGAUUGGUUGUUGUUGUAGGAAUGGUUGAUGAAGCUGUAGUCGUGGUUUCUGCUGUUGUACUCUCUGAAGUUGUAGGCAUCAUUGUUGAAGUAAUAGAUGUGGUUUCGAUCGCCACAACUG